GUGCCGGCCCCGAGGUCGCGCCGAGUAACAAAGAGGCCGUUCAAGGAACCCAGAGAUCCUCCAGCAUCGGGAAAGGUAGCAGGGAGACCUACGCUGCAACUUUCUCCUGUGAAAACGUUGUGAGGCAUACCAAGGGCAUAGAGCUCUUUAACAGAAAAUAGGGGAAACUGGAGAGAAAUAAACCAUUGUAACCGCUUA